rnacentral:rRNA from 1 species
GACGAACGCUGGCGGCGUGCCUAACACAUGCAAGUCAACUUGACUGAAGGAGCAAUCUGACAGUAGAGUGGCGCAAGGGUGCGUAACGCGUAAGUAACUUGCCCAAGGUAAGGAAUAACGUCGAGAAAUCGGCGCUAAUACCUCAUAAUGCAGCGGAUCCGCAUGGAUAUGUUGUUAAAGGUUUACCGCCUUGGGAUAGGCUUGCGUCUGAUUAGCUAGUUGGUGUGGUAACGGCACACCAAGGCUACGAUCAGUAACUGGUCUGAGAGGAUGAUCAGUCACACUGGAACUGAGACACGGGUCCAGACUCCUACGGGAGGCAGCAGUGAGGAAUAUUGGGCAAUGCUCGAAAGAGUGACCCAGCAACGCCGCGUGGAGGAUGAAGGUAUUCUAUAUCGUAAACUCCUGUGA